AACGAACGCUGGCGGCAGGCCUAACACAUGCAAGUCGAACGCAUCGCAAGAUGAGUGGCGCACGGGUGAGUAACACGUGGGAAUGUGCCCUUUGGUUCGGAAUAACGUCUGGAAACGGACGCUAAUACCGGAUGUCCCCUGCGGGGGAAAGAUUUAUCGCCAAAGGAGCAGCCCGCGUCUGAUUAGGUAGUUGGUGGGGUGAAGGCCUACCAAGCCGACGAUCAGUAGCUGGUCUGAGAGGAUGAUCAGCCACACUGGGACUGAGACACGGCCCAGACUCCUACGGGAGGCAGCAGUGGGGAAUAUUGGACAAUGGGCGCAAGCCUGAUCCAGCCAUGCCGCGUGAGUGAUGAAGGCCUUCGGGUUGUAAAGCUCUUUCGCACACGACGAUGAUGACGGUAGUGUGAGAAGAAGCCCCGGCUAACUUCGUGCCAGCAGCCGCAGUAAGAC
rnacentral:rRNA from 1 species